ensembl:lncRNA FAM242F family with sequence similarity 242 member F
UUUCCCCUAUCACUCAGGCACUGGCAGGGUCCUUUGCCCACUCCUGUUGGCCGCUGCGGCUCCAAAGCGAGCUGGGCAGAUGUGCCUGACACAGGUUUGACCAGGCAACUGAAAAGACAUCUCUAAGAGAAGACAAAGCAAAGGUAUGAAAGGAACACACGUCCCUGACUGACUAGGAGGAACAGAGCUGCCUGCUAUCUGGAACAACUUCCUCCCAGACUAAGUACAGCUGUUGGGAGAUGCCUCUCCCGCCCUCAAUCUCCCUGUCUGUGGUUCCAGAGGGAAGAAGAGUGGGGAAAAAAGGAUGAAGAGAAUUGUUUCAGUGCUGGGGGAGGUGAGCUUAUAGCAGGGAUUUAGAUGGGAAUUACCUCAUGGGAUAGGAGCAGUUUUCUCCCUCUCCAGGCCUCUCACAGAUGUGAAACAACUGGCAGAUCUGACUUUCCCACCCCUAACCAUCGGAGGGGAUGAUGUGUCUUGAAACCUGUGCUUCUCUAUUGAGA